UACGAAGGGGGCUAGCGUUGCUCGGAAUCACUGGGCGUAAAGCGCACGUAGGCGGAUUGUUAAGUCGGGGGUGAAAUCCUGGAGCUCAACUCCAGAACUGCCUUCGAUACUGGCGAUCUUGAGUCCGGGAGAGGUGAGUGGAACUCCGAGUGUAGAGGUGAAAUUCGUAGAUAUGACAUAGAACACCAAUUGCGAAGGCAGCUUACUUCAAGAUUAUUGACACUGAGGCACGAAAGCGUGGGGAUCAAACAGG
rnacentral:rRNA from 1 species